rnacentral:rRNA from 1 species
UCUAGUGAUGAUGGCAAAGAGGUCACACCUGUUCCCAUGCCGAACACAGUAGUUAAGCUCUUUAGCGCCGAUGGUAGUUGGGGGUUUCCCCCUGCGAGAGUAGGACGUUGCUAGGC